rnacentral:rRNA from 1 species
AUAUAAUUAAGCGGAGGAAAAGAAACCAAAAGGGAUUCCCCCAGUAACGGCGAGCGAAAAGGGAAGAGCUCAGCGCUAAGGCCUGUCGUCAUUUUGGCGUGCGGGCGAUGCAGCGUUAAUGUUAUAGCGCAACGUGCCAGUUGAGCAGCGCAAGUCCCUCUGACAAGGGCUUUUUCCAAAGCGGGUGCUAGGCCCAUAGCUGUUGCGAGACUGGU